rnacentral:rRNA from 1 species
AUGGAAGGGCGNAGCCUGAUCAGCCAUGCCGCGGUGAGUGAUGAAGGCCUUAGGGUUGUAAAGCUCUUUUCCCGGGANGAUAAUGACNGUACCNGGAGAAUAAGCNCCGGCUAACUNCGUGCCAGCAGCCGCGGUAAUACGAAU